rnacentral:rRNA from 1 species
CCUACGGGUGGCUGCAGUGGGGAAUAUUGGACAAUGGGGGCAACCCUGAUCCAGCCAUGCCGCGUGUGUGAAGAAGGCCCUCGGGUUGUAAAGCACUUUCAGUGAGGAAGAACGCCUGGUGGUUAAUACCCAUCAGGAAAGACAUCACUCACAGAAGAAGCACCGGCUAACUCCGUGCCAGCAGCCGCGGUAAUACGGAGGGUGCGAGCGUUAAUCGGAAUUACUGGGCGUAAAGCGCGCGUAGGUGGCUUGAUAAGCCGGUUGUGAAAGCCCCGGGCUCAACCUGGGAACGGCAUCCGGAACUGUCAAGCUAGAGUGCAGGAGAGGAAGGUAGAAUUCCCGGUGUAGCGGUGAAAUGCGUAGAGAUCGGGAGGAAUACCAGUGGCGAAGACGGCCUUCUGGACUGACACUGACACUGAGGUGCGAAAGCGUGGGUAGCAAACAGGAUUAGAUACCCCGGUAGUC